rnacentral:tRNA from 1 species
GCUGUCGCUCAGUGGUAGAGCGCUUACCUAGCACCUGUGAGGCACUGGGUUCGAUUCUCAGCACUGCA